rnacentral:lncRNA from 1 species
GUGACUCCUCACUAGGACUACCCUGACCAAGAUUUUGCUAAAUUGAAAUAUGACUGUACACAGCUCCUGAACUGGAGUGGUCAAUCCCAUCUUGACACACGCACUAACAAGUCAAGUACUUGACUACACCCAGCAACCUUCCAUCACUGAAUUAGAAAUUCAGGUAGUCCAGUGCCUAAGUGCAGUGAGUUGCUUGCAAGUCACCGUGGCGGUC